UUCACUUGUAGAAAUUUCAUCUAUUAUUCCAUGCCAAUGUUUCACGUGGGACGAUAGGACUAGGGGAACUAUCCUUGAUGUCCUAGGCAUCUUUCCGCUUUGUCUGAAUCUCAUGUCUCUAUCCUUGAAAUUGUUAGUAAAAUGUAACACCGGGGGAGCCAUGAUGACAGUUUGUCCCUCCCUGCUGUUUGAAGUCCUUGCUAAUGACCUACCUGUAAUUUUCAGACCCAUCAACAAGGAUCCUACAUGCUUUCUCAGGCCAGCAAGGAUCUAUUCUGGGCUCAGCCAAUUGGAUGCCCUCAUGUGGAACUCUGAAGUGAUGGAGGGAGUGAUGCAGAGACACAGAAACAUCAGAGUUACUGGCAGAGGGAUGAAUGCCAGGAAGUAUCCAGUGACAGCAACUGCCAAACUCAUCACCCUGCUCCUGUAUAAACAUAGGGACAGCUUAUGUUUAAAACUAGUUUUCAUCCCAUCCAUUCAGUGGACUAUUCAAUAUCCUUCCAAUAACAUCUUUUCUGCUUAAAUGAGGAUGAAAAAAAGGAAGUCAGGAUGGCUUUGUGAUUUUUGUAUUUAAGAUAACUGGUAAGCUACCAUGAUAAUACUGGUGAAGGAAUGUUGAUAAGGACAUUUGGAAUUAAAGUCUAAUUCCUAAUUCCACAGGUGAGGAAAUCAAGGCUCAGAAAUAUUGCCUACAGGUACCCAGUUAGUUAGGGUGGGAUGCAAAUCCUAGCCCUGACUCCUAGUUCCAAGCCCUUUUCAACACACCUGUCAAUGAAAUGAGGUGUAGAGUCCUGGAAAUUGUAAAGGUUGGCAAGGGGCCCUGCAUCAGUGUUUCCUAAAACUGCUUUUACCCCAGGGAAAAGUGAGACCUUUCAUUUUCUGCAGAGAAAAGCAAACAUUGCCCAUUAAGGUUUGUACACAUCCAUGCCACUCUGGGAACUGUUGCUGAUACGUAGCAGCAGGACAUGUUAGGAGCCACUGGGCUGUAAGGAACACUUGUUGACAGUGACAAGAAAGCUGGUGCUUAUUACAGCAAUGCAGUUAUGUCAUUGUGCAUAAAAGAGCUUGAAAAAUGAAGAAAUGUGGCAAGAUUCUAAAGUAUAUUCCUAUUACUCAAUACAACAGAUAUAUAAAAGCCUACUGUGUACAAAGCAUAGGACAUGGAAUUUAAAUCUACCAAGAUGGGUGAGCCACAGACUCUGGCCUUGAGGAGUUUAUAACUUAAGAGGAAAAGGCAGUUGUCACAAGCUUGAUCCAUGGGAUGUGUCUGGCAGAAGUGGAGGUUGCAGAAGAUGAGUGUAAUCUGGAAAUAUAGGCCAGUGAAGGAUUAGGAAAGAGACUGUUCAAAAAUCGAACAGGGGUGCCACCUCUGACUGCAAUCUAACAAAAGAAAAGGCAAGAGCAGAGAGCAAGAGAACAGUCAGGAGAUUUUUUUUACAAGAGGGCUGACAAGAGAUAUGAUCGUGUCAAGAGGAAGAGGAAAGAAAGGCUACUUUGAGAAUGAAAUUGCAAUUUCAUAGCACAGUAGACACAGCCCUUCAUAAAUGUACCUCUGCUUUAUCUCUUGGCACUUAAUGUGUACCUGGAUCUUUCUUAACACCUCUUUAAAAAGGCCUUCCUCUCUCACAUCUCUGUACCUUUGCACAUACUACUUUUUCCUACUUUCUGAAAGGCUUUCUUCUGCUCUUUACCUACAUCAAUCUCCUUCAUCUAACUUUCAUGUCACUUUCUCCAGGAUGCGGAAGGCUUCCACUUUUUCCUCCCAGCCUUGGCAACCGGUACUUAGUUAAUGGCAACUAAUAAUUAUCAUACUGUCCAUUGAUUAUCUAUUUUGUUAUGUUUCUUUUACUAGGUAUGAGCUUUUUGAAGUGGCACUGUCUUGUGUUCUAAAUCCAUGGCAUGAAAACAGAAAUAAGCUUAAUAUAUAUGGAUUAUAGAAGUGAAACGAGACACAAUGUGGAUUCAGAUCAGAUAUGAUUUGGCAACUGAUUGGACAUGGGGGCUGAGAAAAGAAGGGAUUGUGGAGCUGACUGCUUUCUCCCCUGCCUGGAAAGAUAGUAAUUCCUUUAAUAGCAGAGGGAUCAUGGCAGAAGGAGCAGAUUUGAGAAACAAUGAGUUCACUUUUGCAUUAUUCAAUCUGAGAUUGCUAUUGAAUGUCACAGGGACACAUCCUGCGUGCAAUUGACAAGUCUCUGUGAGAGUUCAGCCAAGUGUGUGAAGCAGAACAUAGAGAUCUAGGAAUCAUCAUCAGGCUGUACUUGUGGGAAUUAAAGUGCUCUCCUAGAGAAGAAUUAGAAAGUAAAAGUGCUCAGGACAGACACCUGAGGGAAUGCAGCAAUUCAAAGAUAAUGCUAGAAGGCUAUCAGCUGAUAUGUAAAAAUAAACUUCCUUGAGCAGUAACACAUGUACCCCUAGACCAGAGCUUGUGAGAUUUCGGUGCAGUUAGAGUCCUAUGCUCAGCUGUAAAAAGGUGAGCAUUGCUAUUAGGCAUGAGAGAACAGAGCAAAGCUUAGGAGAAGAAAUAGUUGUAAAUCACCUUUAAAAUUGCAGCUCUUAGUUCUCCUUCCUGAGCCUAGAGAACCUAUAGAGAUACAGACAAAACCUAUUACAAUUUCUAUAUUCCAAAUUGAUAUUUGCUCAAUUAAGUAAUUCUAAAUUGUAUCUUUUUUCUUUACAUUUAUGCAUCUAUGCCUGGGAAAAGGUUGAUAACUUCAACAGCCUAAGGAAAAUUUAACAGAGACAAAUUAAUUUUUUCCAGUGCAAAGUUACAAAUUAUCUAGAGAUUAUCCACUGCUAUGGAUUAUACAUGACUUGACUCCACUGACUCAGAUAAUUGAAUGCUGAUGCUAAUUAGCAAAAUUUUUUUAUAAAACAAUUUUGAUAGUGCAGUAAGCUGAUAUUUACUACUAAAACUCCUGAUGCUUUAUAAAUCCAUGGAUAAUAUUAAAUUGUCAGGACCUCAACCUGAAGAGUGAGGAGGGCUUAGGCCUUAUGGUCACACUGCUGGGUAGAACACUUGCUGCCCUAUGGAGAGGAAGAGAGGCUUGGCUAAUGAUGAAUGUUCAACAGAUUUGGCACUCUUGUCCUCAUGCAUGCCAUGUGCCACCCUCCCACUGUUAGGAAACUGUCAUCAGUCAUUUCCUCUAACAAACUGGAGAGGCAUAAGGUAUGCACAAAGCACCAGAAGUAGAUACUGCCCUUGGAUGAAAUCUCGUCAUGAAAAUUCCUGGCCAUAUUUUGCCCACUGCAUCUAGUACUAACUGACAUUGGAAACUAUGGUUCCAAUUAGCUUUCCAUUUCCUUUAAGUGUUUUUCUUUUCCUGUUGGCUUUUCUGUGUCUUCCGUAACCUGAAAAGACAACUGCUUCAUUACUUCAAAGAAAUUUUAACUCAAGGGCGUGGGGGUGGGGACUGAUCAACCCAAACUUAUUCUUUAGUCUGAGACUCACAAGAGAUUGUCUCUAAUCAUCAAUAACACUGAUAAUUCAGCAUCACACUGCCCCUGUUCCUGGAAUAUCAUGAUGUACAUAUGGUCCAAGGAAGAAGAGUGGGGAGCCAUCAGUAAGCAGCGUGUAGAGAGCAGAAGCUUUGGGGUCAGAAAACCAUACAGGGAUUUAGACUCAGAAAAAUUAAUAGCUAUAUGAUCUCUGGUAAGUUGACUUCUUUCAGUCUUUUCUCAUUGUCAAAAUGGGAACAAGAAUAUCAGCUCUGCAAGGUUGCCAUGAGAAUUAAGGGGUGUAAAGUCGGCACUAAUAUAGCACAGAGCCCUGCUGCAUAUUAACUGCUAUGAUAGCCCCAUAGUAAGUCAGGUACAGAUGAUGCCUGAGGUGUAAUACAUUAAUAACAGGAGUUAAGAAAAUGAGGUAUUGAAAAUAGCUACGAUAUAUUAUAUCCCAUUGUUAACUGUUAAUGGUGUCCAAUUAGGAAUAAUGCCUUUGAGAAAAAAUCUGUUCAGUUAGCUUGUGAUACUGAUUUAUAAGCAUAGAAAUGAUUGUAAGAAGUCUUGUCCUAAUAAAUUUUCUGCCUAGGAUUCUAUCUCCAACAGCAAUAAAACAUGGCUGUUGUUA